UACGGGGGGGGGCAAGCGUUGUUCGGAAUUACUGGGCGUAAAGGGCUCGUAGGCGGCCAACUAAGUCGGAUGUGAAAUCCCCAGGCUUAACCUGGGAACUGCAUCCGAUACUGGAUGGCUUGAAUCCGGGAGAGGGAUGCAGAAUUCCAGGUGUAGCGGUGAAAUGCGUAGAUAUCAAGAGGAACACCUGAGGUGAAGACGGGUUGCUGGGCCAACACUGACGCUGAUGCGCGAAAGCCAGGGGAGCAAACGGG
rnacentral:rRNA from 1 species